rnacentral:rRNA from 14 species
GAAAGUCCGGCCAUAGAAGGUGAUAGCCCUGUAUGUGAAAACUCAAAUGCU